AUGAACGCUAGCUACAGGCUUAACACAUGCAAGUCGAGGGGCAGCAUGGUCUUAGCUUGCUAAGGCCGAUGGCGACCGGCGCACGGGUGAGUAACACGUAUCCAACCUGCCGUCUACUCUUGGACAGCCUUCUGAAAGGAAGAUUAAUACAAGAUGGCAUCAUGAGUCCGCGUGUUCACAUGAUUAAAGGUAUUCCGGUAGACGAUGGGGAUGCGUUCCAUUAGAUAGUAGGCGGGGUAACGGCCCACCUAGUCUUCGAUGGAUAGGGGUUCUGAGAGGAAGGUCCCCCACAUUGGAACUGAGACACGGUCCAAACUCCUACGGGAGGCAGCAGUGAGGAAUAUUGGUCAAUGGGCGAGAGCCUGAACCAGCCAAGUAGCGUGAAGGAUGACUGCCCUAUGGGUUGUAAACUUCUUUUAUAAAGGAAUAAAGUCGGGUAUGGAUACCCGUUUGCAUGUACUUUAUGAAUAAGGAUCGGCUAACUCCGUGCCAGCAGCCGCGGUAAUACGGAGGAUCCGAGCGUUAUCCGGAUUUAUUGGGUUUAAAGGGAGCGUAGAUGGAUGUUUAAGUCAGUUGUGAAAGUUUGCGGCUCAACCGUAAAAUUGCAGUUGAUACUGGAUAUCUUGAGUGCAGUUGAGGCAGGCGGAAUUCGUGGUGUAGCGGUGAAAUGCUUAGAUAUCACGAAGAACUCCGAUUGCGAAGGCAGCCUGCUAAGCUGCAACUGACAUUGAGGCUCGAAAGUGUGGGUAUCAAACAGGAUUAGAUACCCUGGUAGUCCACACGGUAAACGAUGAAUACUCGCUGUUUGCGAUAUACGGCAAGCGGCCAAGCGAAAGCGUUAAGUAUUCCACCUGGGGAGUACGCCGGCAACGGUGAAACUCAAAGGAAUUGACGGGGGCCCGCACAAGCGGAGGAACAUGUGGUUUAAUUCGAUGAUACGCGAGGAACCUUACCCGGGCUUAAAUUGCAGAUGAAUUACGGUGAAAGCCGUAAGCCGCAAGGCAUCUGUGAAGGUGCUGCAUGGUUGUCGUCAGCUCGUGCCGUGAGGUGUCGGCUUAAGUGCCAUAACGAGCGCAACCCUUGUUGUCAGUUACUAACAGGUUCUGCUGAGGACUCUGACAAGACUGCCAUCGUAAGAUGUGAGGAAGGUGGGGAUGACGUCAAAUCAGCACGGCCCUUACGUCCGGGGCUACACACGUGUUACAAUGGGGGGUACAGAGGGCCGCUACCACGCGAGUGGAUGCUAAUCCCAAAAACCUCUCUCAGUUCGGACUGGAGUCUGCAACCCGACUCCACGAAGCUGGAUUCGCUAGUAAUCGCGCAUCAGCCACGGCGCGGUGAAUACGUUCCCGGGCCUUGUACACACCGCCCGUCAAGCCAUGGGAGCCGGGGGUACCUGAAGUGCGUAACCGCGAGGAGCGCCCUAGGGUAAAACUGGUGACUGGGGCU
rnacentral:rRNA from 1 species